ACAACUGGAAGAUGAAGUGUUAUUGUUUAUACGCAACCACGGAGUAUAAGGACUCAUUAUAAUCCGUAUACGCAGCUUGUUAUACUUCAUUGCUUGCAUAAAUCGGUGGUAAAUUGAAAUAUGCAACAUUCACAUGAAAAUUCUGUGUCACAAAAUGUGGUAAAUGCAGAAUGUUGCCCUAUGGUACCAGUUCUUAUCAAGAACCAAUUGAAAUCAUGGGUUCAUGCACCACUAACAGUCAAUGAUUUAGUUAAAAAAUGUGAAAACCCUGAAUUAACGUUUCGUGUUUCUCCCAAAUCUUCUGAUGCCUGAAUAUUAUGAUUUAUCUUUUCUGUUCUGAAAUCUUAAAAUCUGCAUAACCUCUGGUCUGGUCCCAAGCAUUGCAGAUUUCUGAACUUCUUCUGUAUAUAUGUGUGUGAUAUUUUAAGGCCUAAUCAUGAUGGCUGAGUGGAAAAGGCAGGAAGAAAAUGUUCGCAAAAACUAAUUUCGGCAAAUCACCCUCUUUAUUUUUAGGCACAUCAAAAUCAUUUCUUUAUAGAAAAUAUAAAUUUUGAUCAUAAGCAAUUACAGUAACUUUUAUAUACAUGUUACAUUAUCUUAGAUAAAGAACAAAGGAGGGAAUAGCAGCAUAGAGAUGUUUGCAUGGCAGAAGUUAGAGAAAAAAUGAUAUAGUUGCUUGUGAAGCAAUAUUUAUGCUAAGUAGGUACAUAGGUAUAACUAAGCUGUGAUUGGCUAAUUGUAGAUUUUAGUUCCUUUUUGCCAGUAGUGUUAUGUAAUUUAGAAAGAUCUCAAACUUAUAUCUUACAUAUAUAUAUACGUGCAAAGAAUUAUCCUCUUUCUAUACUGUCAUAGUGUAAGUGGUAGCUCUUGCGACUAGUAAUUGGGAGAUCCAUGGUUCGAAUCCUGGUGAAUGCAUAAAGGAUUUUUUGCAUUUCUUAUCAAAAAAAAAAAAUCUAUAAAUGUCUCUAAAGUAACACCUGACUGAAAUGUUCACACGAUAAUUUGUCUCCAGCUGGAUUUGGUGAAUUAGGACUCAUCCUGUUUCCAGUCACCCGCAUUUGCAACAUUAAAUAAGAUAAAAAAAAAAACUUUUAGUUUAUUUUGAAGAUUUAAAAUUUGCUUCAUGAACAUCUCGCAACCAGUGCCUUAGUCAUGGAACUGCUCUUUCAGAACGGCACGCUAACAGGAUAUAUUGUCUUGUAGGGAGAGGAAGUUUGUGUUGCUAAGAUUAAGAAGCCUAACUUUGAAAAAAAAAAUCUCAUGAAUUAAAUUUGUGAUCUAAUUGUUCCAAUUUUUGGCACAUUAUGAAAGGAACAUUCAGGUAGUUGUCAGAAAUAAUUCUAAACGUUAUAUUUUCCUUGCCAUUUGAAGUAUGAAAAAUGUUUUGCUAAAUGAUACACAAUGUAUUCCUCUCAAUGCUAGCCAAACAAGCAAGCAAAAUAGGAAGAAUGAAAAAGAAAAGCCUCUAAAACAAUGAGAUGGAGUCCUGUGGAAAUUUUGUAAAUAUAACGCUGAUUUUUGUUGUUUGUCUUCUGAAUUAGUAUUUAUUCGGCAUGUUAUUGUGUCUUAACAAUGAGAUAUAUAUUUCUAUGUGACCAAAAAUAAAAACAUAAGUAUUCAGAAGCAUCAAGAACACCCUCAUGUGUUUAUAUCAGCUGAAGCAGUUAAUAGCCAGCUCUGUUUAUUUACAUUAUACAUCCAUGAUUUCCACUUUCAUUCCAAAACAAAAUGCGAAAAAUAAAAAUACUGCAAUAGCAUGAAAUUCAACACACUCCAGUCUCCAUAAAUUCCACCUUAACAGAAAUAGUGUGAUAUAGUUCCACCUUAACAAAUAUGUCUAGUGGUAAAAACAAAU